UACGUAGGGUGCGAGCGUUGUCCGGAAUUAUUGGGCGUAAAGGGCUCGUAGGCGGUUUGUCGCGUCGGGAGUGAAAACGCCGUGCUUAACACGGCGCUUGCUUUCGAUACGGGCAGACUAGAGGUAUUCAGGGGAGAACGGAAGUUCCUGGUGUAGCGGUGAAAUGCGCAGAUAUCAGGAGGAACACCGGUGGCGAAGGCGGUUCUCUGGGAAUGACCUGACGCUGAGGAGCGAAAGUGUGGGGAGCGAACAGG
rnacentral:rRNA from 1 species